rnacentral:snRNA from 1 species
GUGCUUGCUUUGGAAGCAUGUAUACUAAAACUGGAACAAUACAGAGAUUAACAGAGACUCUGCAAGCAGGCCAUGCAAAUUCAUGAAAAACAAAUUCAU